AGUGAACGCUGGCGGUAGGCCUAACACAUGCAAGUCGAACGGCAGCACAGUAAGAGCUUGCUAUUACGGGUGGCGAGUGGCGGACGGGUGAGGAAUACAUCGGAAUCUAUUUUUUCGUGGGGGAUAACGUAGGGAAACUUACGCUAAUACCGCAUACGACCUACGGGUGAAAGCAGGGGAUCUUCGGACCUUUCGCGAUUGAAUGAGCCGAUGUCGGAUUUGCUAGUUGGCGGGGUAAAGGCCCACCAAGGCGACGAUCCGUAGCUGGUCUGAGAGGAUGAUCAGCCACACUGGAACUGAGGCACGGUCCAGACUCCUACGGGAGGCAGCAGUGGGGAAUAUUGGACAAUGGGCGCAAGCCUGAUCCAGCCAUACCGCGUGGGUGAAGAAGGCCUUCGGGUUGUAAAGCCCUUUUGUUGGGAAAGAAAAGCAGCAGCUUAAUGCCCAGAUGUUCUGACGGUACCAAAAGAAGAAGAACCGGCUAACUUCGUG
rnacentral:rRNA from 1 species